rnacentral:rRNA from 1 species
UACAGAGGUCCCGAGCGUUGUUCGGAUUCACUGGGCGUAAAGGGUGCGCAGGUGGGUUGGCAAGUUUGAUGUGAAAGCCCCGGGCUUAACCCGGGAAAGGCAUUGAAUACUGCUGAUCUGGAGGAUCGGAGGGGGGACUGGAAUUCUUGGUGUAGCAGUGAAAUGCGUAGAUAUCAAGAGGAACACCGGUGGUGUAGACGGCUCUCUGGACCGUAACUGACGCUGAGACACGAAAGCGUGGGUAGCAAACAGG